rnacentral:pre_miRNA from 1 species
GGUACUUAAGGGGGAGGUGGGCUUUGAAUAAUAAGUUUAUUGACGUGGAAUAUACAAGGGCAAGCUCUCUGUGAGUAUC